AUUGAACGCUGGCGGCAGGCCUAACACAUGCAAGUCGAACGCGUUGCGGACGGGUGAGUAAUGUCUGGGAAACUGCCUGCUGGCGGGGGAUCACUACUGGAAACUGUAGCUAAUACCGCAUACCAUCAGAUGUGCCCAGAUGGGAUUAGCUUGUCGGUGGGGUAAGGGCUCACCAAGCCGACGAUCCCUAGCUGGUCUGAGAGGAUUACCAUCCACAAUGGAACUGAGACACGGUCCAGACUCCUACGGGAGGGAGUAGUGGGGAAUAUUGCACAAUGGGCGAAAGCGUGAGGCAGCCAUGCAGCGUGUAUGAAGAAGGCCUUAGGGUUGUAAAGUACUUUCAGCGGGGAGGGGUUACCCGCAGAAGAAGUACCGGCUAACUCCGUGCCAGCAGCCGCGGUAAUAC
rnacentral:rRNA from 1 species